UAAGCAUCAUUUAUAUAGCCUUUUCCUAUUACUUCUGCGGCAUUUACUUGUAUUUUGAUAACAAAAUCUUGUCAAUUCUUGAUGCUAUGAUGAUUAAUAUGCCCAAUUGUGCAAUUUUACAUGCUCUCGAAAUAUUGUGCAGAUCGGUGCGAAAAGGCACUUAUUCUUCUCAUUUUGGACGAAUUGCACAUGUACCGAUCAAAUGCACCGAAGGACUUGAACAUGAAGAAGUGGAGAAAACCAGGGAUACUAUGAAAAAGAAAAGGAACAUCUUGUGAAGAAAGAAAAGAAGAUGAAGGGGCGAGCUGCAAAUUGCCAGAUCAGAUCGAGAGAAAAGGGGAGCCACGGGCUCCAUCUCCGGCAGGCCUGGUUUCUAUCCCUAAUCCCCAAAGCUCCUGCUCCACCUCCGGCCACCGCCGCGGCCAGGCCGGUGUGGCGGUGCGCCAUCGAUCCGCCACCACACGCCGCACGAGCUCCGGUCUGCUAUCUGCUGCUCAUCACCGACGCCGGCAUCAGCGACGAAGACUUGGGCGACAAUGACCUGAAGCUGAUCUCCAUCCUCUACGUCCUCUGCUGCUGCUGCUGCUAUUUCUUGGUGACGAAUUUCACUCUAUCCCUGUCUUCAUCUCUGCUUAUCUUCUCUCUGCCAAGUGAGUUGUCUAGUUGUAUUUCAGAUUGUGUGGUCUGUACCUUUCAAACCGUGUGUGAAAUUGAUACACAUGCAACCUGUUUGGUGAUAUGCCCCUGUGAUGUACUGUUACGUAUACUACUGAUUGUUCAUCUCAUGAGAUUGUGCAAUUGUUAGUCACUUUCAGUACUACUGUUUGUAAACGUGAUUAAUAUAUGUGAACUGCGUUUGGUGUGUACCUUGUGAAA